GCCGUAACUAUAACGGUCCUAAGGUAGCGAAAUUCCUUGUCGGGUAAGUUCCGACCUGCACGAAUGGCGUAAUGAUGGCCAGGCUGUCUCCACCCGAGACUCAGUGAAAUUGAACUCGCUGUGAAGAUGCAGUGUACCCGCGGCAAGACGGAAAGACCCCGUGAACCUUUACUAUAGCUUGACACUGAACAUUGAGCCUUGAUGUGUAGGAUAGGUGGGAGGCUUUGAAGUGUGGACGCCAGUCUGCAUGGAGCCGACCUUGAAAUACCACCCUUUAAUGUUUGAUGUUCUAACGUGGACCCGUAAUCCGGGUUGCGGACAGUGUCUGGUGGGUAGUUUGACUGGGGCGGUCUCCUCCUAAAGAGUAACGGAGGAGCACGAAGGUUGGCUAAUCCUGGUCGGACAUCAGGAGGUUAGUGCAAUGGCAUAAGCCAGCUUGACUGCGAGCGUGACGGCGCGAGCAGGUGCGAAAGCAGGUCAUAGUGAUCCGGUGGUUCUGAAUGGAAGGGCCAUCGCUCAACGGAUAAAAGGUACUCCGGGGAUAACAGGCUGAUACCGCCCAAGAGUUCAUAUCGACGGCGGUGUUUGGCACCUCGAUGUCGGCUCAUCACAUCCUGGGGCUGAAGUAGGUCCCAAGGGUAUGGCUGUUCGCCAUUUAAAGUGGUACGCGAGCUGGGUUUAGAACGUCGUGAGACAGUUCGGUCCCUAUCUGCCGUGGGCGCUGGAGAACUGAGGGGGGCUGCUCCUAGUACGAGAGGACCGGAGUGGACGCAUCACUGGUGUUCGGGUUGUCAUGCCAAUGGCACUGCCCGGUAGCUAAAUGCGGAAGAGAUAAGUGCUGAAAGCAUCUAAGCACGAAACUUGCCCCGAGAUGAGUUCUCCCUGAGACUUAGAGUCUCCUGAAGGAACGUUGAAGACGACGACGUUGAUAGGCCGGGUGUGUAAGCGCAGCGAUGCGUUGAGCUAACCGGUACUAAUGAACCGUGAGGCUUAACCUUAC
rnacentral:rRNA from 2 species